AAGUAGCUCAGUGGUUAAGAGUAUUUGAUUGAAAAUCAAAUUGUCGUAGGUUCAAA
rnacentral:tRNA from 14 species